UACGUAGGGAGCGCGCGUUGUUCGGAAUCACUGGGCGUAAAGCGCACGCAGGCGGAUUGAUAAGUCAGGGGUGAAAUCCCGGAGCUCAACUUCGGAAUUGCCUUUGAUACUGUCUGUCUUGAGUCCGGGAGAGGUGAGUGGAAUUCCUAGUGUAGAGGUGAAAUUCGUAGAUAUUAGGAAGAACACCAGUGGCGAAGGCGGCUCACUGGCCCGGUACUGACGCUCAUGUGCGAAAGCGUGGGGAGCAAACAGG
rnacentral:rRNA from 1 species